rnacentral:rRNA from 1 species
UACAGAGGGUGCGAGCGUUAAUCGGAAUUACUGGGCGUAAAGGGCGCGUAGGCGGUUUGGUAAGUUGGAUGUGAAAGGCCCGGGCUUAACCUGGGAGUUGCAUACAAUACUGCCGAACUAGAGUAGUGUAGAGGGGAGUGGAAUUUCCGGUGUAGCGGUGAAAUGCGUAGAUAUCGGAAAGAACACCAGUGGCGAAGGCGGCUCCCUGGACACAUACUGACGCUGAAGCGCGAAAGCGUGGGGAGCAAACAGG